rnacentral:rRNA from 1 species
GAAUAUUGGACAAUGGGGGGAACCCUGAUCCAGCCAUGCCGCGUGUGUGAAGAAGGCCUUUUGGUUGUAAAGCCCUUUUGUUGGGGAAGAAAUCCUGCUGGCUAAUACCCGGCGGGGAUGACGGUACCCAAAGAAUAAGCCCCGGCUAACUUCGUGCCAGCAGCCGCGGUAAUACGAAGGGUGCAAGCGUUACACGGAAUUACUGGGCGUAAAGCGUGCGUAGGUGGUGGCUUAAGUCCGUUGUGAAAGCCCUGGGCUCAACCUGGGAAUUGCAGUGGAUACUGGGUCACUAGAGUGUGGUAGAGGGUGGCGGAAUUCCCGGUGUAGCAGUGAAAUGCGUAGAGAUCGGGAGGAACACCCGUGGCGAAGGCGGCCACCUGGGCCAACACUGACACUGAGGCACGAAAGCGUGGGGAGCAAACAG